ensembl:rRNA 5S_rRNA 5S ribosomal RNA
GCCCCCGGGCGCCAUAGCAGCCUGAGGGUGCUCCAGCCCAGAAGCUAAGCAGGGUCGAUCCUGGCUGGGACUUGGAUGAGGGACCACUUGGGGAGAUCGGGGCUGGAGGCU